UUCCUUAGAGAUAAGUUGUAGGAAAUAAAAUGCUCUACAAAAAAUGUCCUCUAAAAUUUUCGGAUAAACUUGAUGGUUGCGUCAAAAAAUUAAAAAAAUGUAAAAAUUUAUCGUCAAUCUAGCUUUAACUUUGAAUUACUUUUGAAGAAAUAAAAAUAUCGAAAAAUUAUAAGAGACCGUUUCUGUAGAGCGUCAAAUUUCCCAUAAGAAUUUGUCUUGAACAUUCAAAAGUAUUGGUCUCACCGAGAGCUACAAAAUUUCAAAGCUUAAAAAAUAAACUUUCCCAUGUUAUUUAAACGGAAAAUAGAAAAUUGGGAUGCGGCAGUUGUUGAUACUAAUAUUAAGAGCUCAAACUUUCACAGUAUUUUUUUUUCGUUAUUUCCAACAAUAUUUUCGAUAUAAUGAAGAAAAAAAAAUUAGUCGAUUUUUUUGAAUCAGUCUAAUAUAUAUUUAUGUAUUUUUAAUAUGUUUUUUUUAUAAAUGAUUUUCAUGAGGCACCGAACUCGAAUAAGCAGCGGUAGGAGUAGUUCAGUGCUCGCCACUAGAUCGCACCCAACCUCUUGUGCUGUUCCUGGUUAGAUAUAUAAUUCAGAGUUGUUAUAUUGUAUACUUGGAAACAAUUCUGGCAUAGUGACAAGUUCCUUCUUUGAUGGUAAUAUAGUAUAUCCUAUAUUACAUUGUGACAACAAUGUCCAUUUUUGUUCCCUUGGAUAAUUUUUCUUUACAAUCCAGAAAUAUAAAGUACGUUUCAGUAUUUCGUUAUGAGAAAACCAAUCGUGGGAGCUGUGCAGGGGGCCUUUAAAGGAAAAGAGUGUAUAUAUUAAAUAAAUAUCAGUCAAUAAUCUGGAGAUCUUCAGAAAUUAAGUCAGGAAAACAGUAUUCAUUUACUCUGGAUACACUCUGGUUCCAUUCUCUUCUACAAAGUAUUAUUUUGAAGCAAGAUCGAUCAUUAAUGACUCGACAACUUGAAUAAAUUGCACUAACGUUGUAUGAAUUUCGUACAAUUUACGGUGUUUUAGAAGAAAGGUACUUAAAGUCGUGGCGUAUUUGGCUCAACUCAAACCAAGUUGACUCACAGCUUUCUUUUUAUCA